rnacentral:rRNA from 1 species
AAUCAACGCUGGCGGCGUGCCUCAGACAUGCAAGUCGAACGCGAAAGUCCCCUUCGGGGGAUGAUUAGAGUGGCGCACGGGUGAGUAACACGUAGGUAAUCUACCUUCGAGUGGGGAAUAACUCAGGGAAACUUGAGCUAAUACCGCAUAAUGCAGCGGCACCACAUGGUGACAGUUGUUAAAGCAUUUAUGCGCUUGAAGAGGAGCCUGCGGCAGAUUAGCUAGUUGGUAAGGUAAUGGCUUACCAAGGCUACGAUCUGUAACCGGCCUGAGAGGGCGGACGGUCACACUGACACUGAAUAACGGGUCAGACUCCUACGGGAGGCAGCAGUCGGGAAUUUU